UACGUAGGUGGCAAGCGUUACUCGGAAUUACUAGGCGUAAAGCGCAGGUAGGUGGUCGGAUAAGUCCAUGAUGAAAGCUCCUGGCUUAACUGGGAGAGGUUCGUAGAUACUGUCUGACUCGAGUGUGGGAGAGGUGACUGGAAUUCCUGGUGUAGCGGUGAAAUGCGUAGAGAUCAGGAGGAACACCAAAGGCGAAAGCAGGUCACUGGCCCAAUACUGACGCUGAGCUGCGAAAGCUAGGGGAG
rnacentral:rRNA from 1 species